UUCGGGGUGGAUUAGUGGCGAACGGGUGAGUAACACGUGGGCAAUCUGCCCUUCACUCUGGGACAAGCCCUGGAAACGGGGUCUAAUACCGGAUAACACUCCUCAGGGCAUCUUGAGGGGUUAAAAGCUCCGGCGGUGAAGGAUGAGCCCGCGGCCUAUCAGCUUGUUGGUGGGGUAAUGGCCUACCAAGGCGACGACGGGUAGCCGGCCUGAGAGGGCGACCGGCCACACUGGGACUGAGACACGGCCCAGACUCCUACGGGAGGCAGCAGUGGGGAAUAUUGCACAAUGGGCGAAAGCCUGAUGCAGCGACGCCGCGUGAGGGAUGACGGCCUUCGGGUUGUAAACCUCUUUCAGCAGGGAAGAAGCGAAAGUGACGGUACCUGCAGAAGAAGCGCCGGCUAACUACGUGCCAGCAGCCGCGGUAAUACGUAGGGCGCAAGCGUUGUCCGGAAUUAUUGGGCGUAAAGAGCUCGUAGGCGGCUUGUCACGUCGGAUGUGAAAGCCCGGGGCUUAACCCCGGGUCUGCAUUCGAUACGGGCUAGCUAGAGUGUGGUAGGGGAGAUCGGAAUUCCUGGUGUAGCGGUGAAAUGCGCAGAUAUCAGGAGGAACACCGGUGGCGAAGGCGGAUCUCUGGGCCAUUACUGACGCUGAGGAGCGAAAGCGUGGGGAGCGAACAGGAUUAGAUACCCUGGUAGU
rnacentral:rRNA from 1 species